ensembl:lncRNA
GGGGAGGGCAGGAGGGAGGCCCCCAUCCCCGAACAGGGGGAGAAGGAGAUGGGACAGCUGGGUCUCUGCACUCCCACCACUUUCAGGUGACAGAGUUGGUGCAAACGUGUCCCCGUGGCACCUUCACCUGUAAAGUGGGGACCAUUGUAACCCGCCCGUUGGAUGGGAUUGAGAAUGGACCAGAUCCCCGGCGACAUGCCCUGGGCCCGACUUCCAGUCCUGGGAAGGGGCAGCUCUUGGUCAGGCCUGGCCUCUGGAGCACGAUUCCAUCCGUAGCUGGGCUCUUCCUGCGGCAGGCUUCUGCAAGCCGGGGGGAAACGAGUUCUCGGUCAAUGUCGCCCUCUACCCACUGCCUCCGGCCUCAGGGAGCUCCCGGUCCAGCUGGAGAGGCUGGCCCUGGGCUCUGAGAGCCAGCCCCUGAGGGCUGCCUUGCCCCCCUGGAGGGGCUGGGCGGUGAGAUCCCUGGAGCAGAGAAGAGGGGCUGGGAGCAAGGCUUUGGGGCAGACAAUGCACAGAGGCAGCAGGUUUGCUGGGCCUGUCACUUCCCUCCUGGUGGGUUCCGCAUGGAAGCCCUCAGGAACACAGUGGCACCUGUCUCUCCGCUCCUCCCCUGGGCAGGGCCAGUGCCGCCCCCCAGCGGGUGCCCAGUGAAUGCGGGUGGCGGGUUCUGGGAGAAAGGAUGGUGUUCGCCCAUGUCUGCAGGGCCCGCACCUCCCCAUCACUGCCACCAGGGGGCGCAGUUGCCCAGCAGAAGCCAGGUCCCCACGCCCUUGGCUGUGCCGGCAGCCACAGCUCUGCACUGUCAGCUGGGGAGGCAACCCCCCGCCAUCCCCUCCUCUCCAGGCUGGGGGAGGUUCUGGAGCUGGGGGCCCUGCGCCCCAGGGACAGCCAGGCAGGUGGUCAGCCUGAGAGGUCCAGUGGCUCAAGGGGAGCAGGGCUGGACCCCUGGUUAGCUGGGCGGCAUCCACACACCUCUUCCUCCUGACUCUGUCCUGCCCACCACUCCUCACCCUCCCACCAGGCAGCUGUCUCCUGAGUAGGCUUUAUUUUCAGGGUGUAAAGCCCUUCAGGAAUCUUGGGGGACCGGGCGUGGAGUAGGCUGCCAUGCUGUUGCUAGGACAAAGGCCAGAGGGCUCCUUCUUCUGAAUCUCCUCCCCUUUCGCUUCUGAGGGCCUUUGCAGGACCAGCCCCAACCCCUGUCAGCACAGCCCCUGCCCGGCCAGGACCCUGGUCCAGUGCGGAUGGGCGGGGGCUCCCCUACCCACUGUCCACUUAGCCUGGGCCAUCCUGAGCCAGUGACCAGCAGGCAUGAGCCAGCGACCCUGCCCGGGAAAGGACACACCCAGAAUGGGGCACAGGGCGCUGAGCCCUGGGUUCUGGCCCCAUGGCAGGCCCUGAGCGGGGCAGGGACUUUCUGUCCUUCAGGGGCCAAGUCACCAUCCUGCAAAUUCUCCACAAUCUAGACCUGCUGCCACAGCAGCUCUGCGGGCUCCCUCUGUGCAGGGGGCAGAGGGGCUCUGGGGUGCUGUGGGGGUCUGUGUCCUAAACCUUGAGACCAAGCGGCUGCUCCAGGCCAGCCCCGGGCACACGCGGAAGGUGGACUGGGCCGGGUCAGCAUCCUCUUGCGUUCCUACCACCGCCGCCAGCCUCCUGUCUGCCCUCCCUCCAGAGGUCCUGAGGGGGGCGUCCAUCCAGGGCCUGGGUGUCCAUACAGCGGCUGAGCUGGAUCCUGCGUUGCUGCGACUGUUGUGUAGGCCGGCAGCUGCAGCUCUGAUUGGAUCCCUAGCCUGAGAACCUCCAUAUGC